CCCCUCCAAGGGUCACAAAUGGAGAGUUUCCAGUACUCUACCAGUCUCAACUGCGGGAGGGAAAGUCAAGCAGAGGCAUAUCUAUUUCAUUCUUAGCUUGGGCAGUGGCUAGCGAGUGGAAGGCAAUCUGCUACAAGU